UACGUAGGGGGCAAGCGUUGUCCGGAUUUAUUGGGCGUAAAGAGCGUGUAGGCGGUUUGGUAGGUCCGCUGUGAAAACUCGAGGCUCAACCUCGAGACGCCGGUGGAAACCAUCAGACUAGAGUCCGGAAGGGGAGAGUGGAAUUCCUGGUGUAGCGGUGAAAUGCGCAGAUAUUGGGAAGACCACCGAUGGCGAAGGCACUCUACUGGGCCAUUACUGACACUGAGAGACGAAAGCUAGGGGAGCAAAUGGG
rnacentral:rRNA from 1 species